UUUCAUCCGUUGUAAUCUUGGCUGCUUCAUUGAAUAAUAUUUUAGUGUCCGUAAGGCCAACGGAACAUUAAUUGCCAAUAAAUUAGACUACUACCUUUUAUAAAAUUCAAACAGGUAGUUUAGGCAUGGCAUACA
rnacentral:snoRNA from 1 species